rnacentral:rRNA from 1 species
AACGAACGCUGGCGGCAGGCUUAACACAUGCAAGUCGAACGCCCCGCAAGGGGAGUGGCAGACGGGUGAGUAACGCGUGGGAACGUGCCCUUCGCUUCGGAAUAGUACCGGGAAUCUGGGUGUAAUACCGCAUACGCCAUAUAGGGAAAGUUUUAUCGUCGAAGUAUCGGCCGGCGUUAGAUUAGGUAGUUGGCGGUGUAAUGGACCACCGAGCCUACGAUCUAUAGCUGGUCUGAGAGGAUGAUCAGCCACACUGGGACUGAGACACGGCCCAGACUCCUACGGGAGACAGCAGUGGGGAAUCUUGGACAAUGGGCGAAAGCCUGAUCCAGCCAUGCCGCGUGAGUUAAGAAGACCUAGGGUUGUAAAACUCUUUCGCCAGAGAAGAUAAUGACGGUAUCCGGAGAAGAAGCCCCGUCUAACUUCGUGCCAGCAGCCGCGGUAAUAC